GCCUUUAUAGCACAGUGGCAGUGCGUGUCACUCGUAAUGACAAGGUCGAGUGUUCGAUCCACUCUAAAGGCA
rfam:Rhodotorula sp. JG-1b unplaced genomic scaffold RHOSPscaffold_1, whole genome shotgun sequence.